rnacentral:rRNA from 1 species
AGGGUUCGAUCAUGGCUCAGGAUGAACGCUGGCGGCGUGCCUAACACAUGCAAGUCGAACGAGGUAUUUUGAUUGAAGUUUUCGGAUGGAUUUCAAGAUACCGAGUGGCGGACGGGUGAGUAACGCGUGGGUAACCUGCCUCAUACAGGGGGAUAACAGUUAGAAAUGACUGCUAAUACCGCAUAAGACCACAGCACCGCAUGGUGCAGGGGUAAAAACUCCGGUGGUAUGAGAUGGACCCGCGUCUGAUUAGGUAGUUGGUGGGGUAACGGUCUACCAAGCCGACGAUCAGUAGCCGACCUGAGAGGGUGACCGGCCACAUUGGGACUGAGACACGGCCCAA